GCUUACGGCCAUACCAACCUGGCUAUGCCCGAUCUCGUCUGAUCUCGGAAGAUAAGCAGGUUUGGGCCUGGUUAGUACCUGGAUGGGAGACCGCCUGGGAAUACCAGGUGCUGUAAGCU
rnacentral:rRNA from 1 species